AUACUUACCUCUCAGGGGAGAUACCAUGAUCACCAAGGUGGCUUCCCAGGGCGACCAGCCAUUGCACUCUAGAUGUGCUGACCCAUGAGAGUUCUCCAAAUGUGGGAGACUUGACUGCAUAACUUGUGGUAGUGGGGGACUGCAUUGGCAUUCUCCUC
ensembl:snRNA U1 U1 spliceosomal RNA